GCUGGUUGUUGCGUAGCCAAAUUGUCGAGUCGCUCGGCUCCCCUGAUCAUUUGGUCCCCUCCAACCAGCCA
rnacentral:pre_miRNA from 1 species